rnacentral:rRNA from 1 species
ACACAUGCAAGUCGAACGCAGUAGCAAUACUGAGUGGCAGACGGGUGAGUAUAAUGUGGGAAUCUGCCUUUUGGUUCGGAAUAACUCGGGGAAACUUGAGCUAAUACCGGAUAAGCCCUUACGGGGAAAGAUUUAUCGCCGAAAGAUGAGCCCGCACUUGAUUAGCUUGUUGGUGAGGUAAAAGCUCACCAAGGCAACUAUCAAUAGCUGUUCUUAGAGGAAGACCAGCCACAUUGGGACUGAGACACGGCCCAGACUCCUACGGGAGGCAGCAGUGGGGAAUCUUGCACAAUGGGGGAAACCCUGAUGCAGCGAUGCCGCGUGAGUGAAGAAGGCCUUUGGGUUGUAAAACUCUUUCGUUGGGGAAGAAAAUGACUGUACCCAAAUAAGAAGGUCCGGCUAACUUCGUGCCAGCAGCCGCGGUAAUACGAAGGGACCUAGCGUAGUUCGGAAUUACUGGGCUUAAAGAGCUCGUAGGUGGUUAAAAAAGUUGGUGGUGAAAUCCCAAGGCUUAACCUUGGAACUGCCAUCAAAACUUUUUAGCUAGAGUGUGAUAGAGGAAAGUGGAAUUUCUAGUGUAGAGGUGAAAUUCGUAGAUAUUAGAAAGAACACCAAAAGCGAAGGCAACUUUCUGGAUCACUACUGACACUGAGGAGCGAAAGCAUGGGUAGCGAAGAGGAUUAGAUACCCUCGUAGUCCAUGCUGUAAACGAUGUGUGCUAGACGUUGGAAAUUUUAUUUUCAGUGUCGCAGCAAAAGCGUUAAGCACACCGCCUGGGGAGUAC